rnacentral:lncRNA from 1 species
GAAUAUUAACUAUGGUGAAACAAGAGUGUAGAAAAGAUAAGUAUGAAGAAUCAAUUAAAAUAUUAUAAUGAACUUGAAAAAGGGAUAAAGAGUAAAAGAGAUUCAUUUAUAAGCAAAGGAAAAAGAGAGAGGAGAAGAAAGGGAAAAAAAUGAGUGACGAUAACAGCAACGACGGUGAAGGUCUAACGGUGGAGAAGGGAGAAGAAGGGGAAGACGAGGCAGUGGAAUAGUGGUUGAAGUAGUGUGACGGUGGCUAGUGGUGGUUAAGGUGGUGGAAAAAUUGAUAAAAGUGGUGGGACACGGUGAUAUAAAGGAGAAAAUAAGAUAGAAAAAAGAAAGAUGAGAAAGAAAAAUAAAAAUAAAAAUAAUACUAUGGUGGUAGGGAUAGCACAAGCAAGUCAAAAGUGAGGAAAAACGAAAGAGAGUGAAACAAUGAAAAAAAAGGAAAUAGGGGGAACACAUGGAGUGAAAAGGGAGUAAGUAUAGAAAGAAGGAGGAAAAAAGUGAGUAAAUAAUUAAAAGGGUUGACAACCCAUUUGGGCAGCAAAAAGGGUUGACCAAGGAUGGGGUGCCUAAAUUAAAAUUGAAGUAGGAGAGAGGACUCAAACUUAGGUC